rnacentral:rRNA from 1 species
UACCUGCAGCUCGAGUGGUAACCGCUAUUAUUGGGCCUAAAGCGUCCGUAGCCGGUUUGGUAAAUAUCUGGGUAAAUCGUGAGGCUUAACUUCACGAAUUUCGGAUAGACUGCCAGACUUGGGAUCGGGGGAGGUCAGAGGUACUCCAGGGGUAGCGGUGAAAUGUUGUAAUCCUUGGAGGACCACCGGUAGCGAAGGCGUCUGACUAGAACGAGUCCGACGGUGAGGGACGAAGCCCUGGGGCGCAAACCGGAUUAGAUACCCGGGUAGUCCAGGGUGUAAACGAUGUGGGCUUUGUAUUGGAGGUCCCAGUGGGCGUCCAGUGCAGAAGAGAAGUUGUUAAGCCCACCGCCUGGGAAGUACGGUCGCAAGGCUGAAACUUAAAGGAAUUGGCGGUGGAGCACAGCAACGGGAGGAGCGUGCGGUUU